rnacentral:rRNA from 1 species
AAAGGUAGCCCGUAAGGGCUGUUGCUUAGAGAUGAGCUCAUGUCCUAUCAGCUAGUUGGUAGGGUAAUGGCCUACCAAGGCUUUUGACGGGUAGCUGGCCUGAGAGGGUGGUCAGCCACACGGGGACUGAGACACUGCCCCGACUCCUACGGGAGGCUGCAGUCGAGGAUAUUUAGCAAUGGACGAAAGUCUGACUGUGUGACGCCGCGUGAGGGAUGAAGGUCUUCGGAUUGUAAACCUCUUUCGAUGGGGAAGAAGGCCCGCAUACUAAUAUUAUGCGGGUUUGACGGUACCCAGAGAAGAAGCCACGGCCAACUCUGUGCCAGCAGCCGCGGUAAUACAGAGGUGGCGAGCGUUACUCGGAUUUAUUGGGUGUAAAGGGCAGGUAGGCGUUCCAUUAAGUUAGGAGUGAAAUCCUAAGGCUCAACCUUAGAACUGCUUCUAAUACUGAUGGGAUUGAGGCCAGGAGAGGAAAGCGGAAUUCCCGGUGUAAGGGUGAAAUCUGUAGAUAUCGGGAGGAACACCAGUGGCGAAGGCGGCUUUCUGGUCUGGACCUGACGCUGAACUGCGAAAGCUUGGGGAGCAAACAGGAUUAGAUACCCUGGUAGUCCAAGCCGUAAACUAUGAGCACUAGGUGUCGGGGGUAACCCUUCGGCGCCGUAAGAUAACUCGUUAAGUGCUCCAC